AGAGUUUGAUCCUGGCUCAGAUUGAACGCUGGCGGCAUGCCUUACACAUGCAAGUCGAACGGCAGCACGGACUUCGGUCUGGUGGCGAGUGGCGAACGGGUGAGUAAUAUAUCGGAACGUACCCUGGAGUGGGGGAUAACGCAGCGAAAGUUGCGCUAAUACCGCAUACGAUCUACGGAUGAAAGUGGGGGCUCGCAAGACCUCAUGCUCGUGGAGCGGCCGAUAUCUGAUUAGCUAGUUGGUAGGGUAAAAGCCUACCAAGGCUUCGAUCAGUAGCUGGUCUGAGAGGACGACCAGCCACACUGGGACUGAGACACGGCCCAGACUCCUACGGGAGGCAGCAGUGGGGAAUUUUGGACAAUGGGGGCAACC
rnacentral:rRNA from 1 species